GCAGAAAUCGAGAGUUCAAGGGUGCUGCCUAAUUCUCUUCCAAUAAGCAUCCCAAAUCAUAGAGACGAGUCUGCCAAGUCCAAGGAAACUACUCCUUUCAGUCCCACAAUUUCACAAUUCAAUAUCGUGUUUUGAGGUUAUCUCCGCAAGUUAAGGUCGGAGCGAGAAAUUCAAGUUAAAGAAAUUAAACGAACGAGUGAGGGUGGUGUCCCUACUCGGAUUAGUGUACACAGGUGACUGUUGGAAGGUGGCCACCUUCCACGGCACAAAGAUGAUAUAGUGGAGGCCGUUGGGAGGUGGCCACCUCCCCGGCUGGAGAAAGAUGUAGGUGACCGUGGGAGAGCACCAUCUCCACGACACUUGGUGUUCAGAUAUGGCAAAAGUACAGAAAGAACAUAGACUGAUCAGUCGAACAUUAGCUCACAAAGAAUUUAGUUGAGCAGUGACGAUGGAGAAUGCUGAGCAGAGUUAUGAUUUUCCUUUUAUUUUAAGUAGAGGUUCUCGGCGGUGCAUGUCUCCAUACAUGUGACCGUGUUCAAUCCGCUGCGUACUAAGGUUCUAGAUGACAUUGACUGUUACUCUGAUAAUUAGUUAUUAAAAUGUAAGAUUUUCAUUCAA